CUACGGGACGCACCAGUGAGGAAUAUUGCACAAUGGGGGGAACCCUGAUGCAGCAACGCCGCGUGGAGGAUGACGCAUUUCGGUGUGUAAACUCCUUUUAUAUGUCAAGAAAAUGACGGUAGCAUAUGAAUAAGCACCGGCUAACUCCGUGCCAGCAGCCGCGGUAAUACGGAGGGUGCAAGCGUUACUCGGAAUCGCUGGGCGUAAAGGACGCGUAGGCGGGUUGGAAAGUCAGGUGUGAAAUCCUACAGCUUAACUGUAGAACUGCACUUGAAACUUCUAAUCUAGAGUAUGGGAGGGGGAGAUGGAAUUAGUGGUGUAGGGGUAAAAUCCGUAGAUAUCACUAGGAAUACCUAAAGCGAAGGCGAUCUCCUGGAACAUUACUGACGCUGAGGCACGAAAGCGUGGGGAGCAAACAGGAUUAGAUACCCCCGUAGUC
rnacentral:rRNA from 1 species